GUAUAGCGAUAGCUAAUUGCACUAACGAAUAGUUGAUGCAAUAUCGACUCUGUCGAAUAAAAUUCUAGGUAGAAUUAUGAUAAUGACAUUGUUUGCCUAUGUGUCUUGACCAAAUUACGUGCCAGCAGUCGCGGUAAUACGUAGAAGACUAGUGUUAUUCAUCUUUAAUAGGUUUAAAGGGUACCUAGACGGUAAAUCAAGCCUUCAAGGGGACUAGUUUACUAGAGUUACUUGUGAGGGGGUAUUAAAGUACUGCUGGUGUAGAGAUGAAAUUCUGUGAUACCUCUUUUCGUAAGAAAAAUAAUGGCACAGGUAUAGGCGAAAGCAUCCCCUUAUGUGAUAACUGACGUUGAAGGACGAAGGCUUUGUGUAGCGAACAGGAUUAGAUACCCCAGUAGUCAAAGCAGAAAAUGAUGAAUGUCAUAGAUUAGACAUAUAAUAGUUUAUUCUAUAAAUGAAAGUGUAAGCAUUCCACCUCAAGAGUAAUUUGGCAACAUUGGAACUGAAAUCAUUAGACCGUUUCUGAAACCAGUAGUGAAGUAUGUUGUUUAAUUUGAUAAUCCACAAAAAACCUUACCACAAUUUGAAUAUUUAUAUUAUUUUUCUCAUCUAUUAUAUUUUAUAAAAAUAAUACAUUUACAAGCGUUGCACGGGU
rnacentral:rRNA from 1 species